GGUGUCGGUAGUGCACUUGGUUAAGCACACGCACUCGGAAAGGGUGAAGUGCGGGUUCGAUUCCCGACUGACGUCA